rnacentral:lncRNA from 1 species
AAUUAUGUUUUUUUUUAUGAGCCUGAUUCGCUGUCAUAUGCCAAUUUGUCUUCAUCCAAAAGUUAUAAUCAUUUUAUCGGAUUUAAAUUUUUUAGAAAUUUUACAUAUCAAACGCAAACUCUUAAAUGAAGAUAACAUUAACACGUGCCAGCAGAUUGAAGAGUCUCUAUCCAUAUGUUAUUUGGGAGCUCUUCACUAAAAUUUUAUCCAGA